AACGCUGGCGGCGUGCUUAACACAUGCAAGUCGAACGAGGGGAUUAGAAGCUUGCUUUUAUGACCCGAGUGGCAAACGGGUGAGUAACGCGUAGACAACCUGCCUCUCAGAUGGGGACAACAUCCCGAAAGGGGUGCUAAUACCGAAUGUUGUGCAACCUCCACAUGGAGGAUGCACCAAAGGUGGUUUCGGCCACCGCUGAGAGAUGGGUCUGCGUCUGAUUAGCUUGUUGGCGGGGUAACGGCCCACCAAGGCGACGAUCAGUAGGGGUUCUGAGAGGAAGGUCCCCCACAUUGGAACUGAGACACGGUCCAAACUCCUACGGGAGGCAGCAGUGAGGAAUAUUGGUCAAUGGACGAGAGUCUGAACCAGCCAAGUAGCGUGCAGGAUGACGGCCCUAUGGGUUGUAAACUGCUUUUAUAAGGGAAUAAAGUGAGAGUCGUGACUCUUUUUGCAUGUACCUUAUGAAUAAGGACCGGCUAAUUCCGUG
rnacentral:rRNA from 1 species